GACGAACGCUGGCGGCGCGCCUAACACAUGCAAGUCGAACGAGAGAUGAGGAGCUUGCUCUUCAAAUCGAGUGGCGAACGGGUGAGUAACGCGUGAGGAACCUGCCUCAAAGAGGGGGACAACAGUUGGAAACGACUGCUAAUACCGCAUAAGCCCACGGCUCGGCAUCGAGCAGAGGGAAAAGGAGCAAUCCGCUUUGAGAUGGCCUCGCGUCCGAUUAGCUAGUUGGUGAGGUAACGGCCCACCAAGGCGACGAUCGGUAGCCGGACUGAGAGGUUGAACGGCCACAUUGGGACUGAGACACGGCCCAGACUCCUACGGGAGGCAGCAGUGGGGAAUAUUGCACAAUGGGGGAAACCCUGAUGCAGCGACGCCGCGUGGAGGAAGAAGGUCUUCGGAUUGUAAACUCCUGUUGUUGAGGAAGAUAAUGACGGUACUCAACAAGGAAGUGACGGCUAACUACGUGCCAGCAGCCGCGGUAAAACGUAGGUCACAAGCGUUGUCCGGAAUUACUGGGUGUAAAGGGAGCGCAGGCGGGAGAACAAGUUGGAAGUGAAAUCCAUGGGCUCAACCCAUGAACUGCUUUCAAAACUGUUUUUCUUGAGUAGUGCAGAGGUAGGCGGAAUUCCCGGUGUAGCGGUGGAAUGCGUAGAUAUCGGGAGGAACACCAGUGGCGAAGGCGGCCUACUGGGCACCAACUGACGCUGAGGCUCGAAAGUGUGGGUAGCAAACAGGAUUAGAUACCCUGGUAGUCCACACCGUAAACGAUGAUUACUAGGUGUUGGAGGAUUGACCCCUUCAGUGCCGCAGUUAACACAAUAAGUAAUCCACCUGGGGAGUACGACCGCAAGGUUGAAACUCAAAGGAAUUGACGGGGGCCCGCACAAGCAGUGGAGUAUGUGGUUUAAUUCGACGCAACGCGAAGAACCUUACCAAGUCUUGACAUCCCUUGACGAUGCUGGAAACAGUAUUUCUCUUCGGAGCAAGGAGACAGGUGGUGCAUGGUUGUCGUCAGCUCGUGUCGUGAGAUGUUGGGUUAAGUCCCGCAACGAGCGCAACCCUUAUGGUCAGUUACUACGCAAGAGGACUCUGGCCAGACUGCCGUUGACAAAACGGAGGAAGGUGGGGAUGACGUCAAAUCAUCAUGCCCUUUAUGACUUGGGCUACACACGUACUACAAUGGCGUUAAACAAAGAGAAGCAAGACCGCGAGGUGGAGCAAAACUCAGAAACAACGUCCCAGUUCGGACUGCAGGCUGCAACUCGCCUGCACGAAGUCGGAAUUGCUAGUAAUCGUGGAUCAGCAUGCCACGGUGAAUACGUUCCCGGGCCUU
rnacentral:rRNA from 1 species